AUGAUAGGACCGUCACACUCUAACAUGAUUGGACCGUCUCACUCUAACCUGAUUGGACCGUCACACUCUAACCUGAUUGGACCGUCUCACGCUAACCUGAUUGGACCGUCUCACGCUAACCUGAUUGGACCGUCACACUCUAACCUGAUUGGACCGUCACACUCUAACCUGAUUGGACCGUCACACUCUAACCUGAUUGGACCGUCACACUCUAACAUGAUUGAACCGUCACACUCUAACCUGAUUGGACCGUCACACUCUAACCUGAUUGGACCGUCUCACGCUAACCUGAUUGGACCGUCACACUCUAACCUGAUUGGACCGUCACACUCUAACCUGAUUGGACCGUCACACUCUAACCUGAUUGGACCGUCACACUCUAACCUGAUUGGACCGUCACACUCUAACCUGAUUGGACCGUCACACUCUAACCUGAUUGGACCGUCACACUCUAACCUGAUUGGACCGUCUCACUCUAACCUGAUUGGACCGUCUCACUCUAACCUGAUUGGACCGUCACACUCUAACCUGAUUGAACCGUCUCACUCUAACCUGAUUGGACCGUCACACUCUAACCUGAUUGGACCGUCACACUCUAACCUGAUUGGACCGUCACACUCUAACCUGAUUGGACCGUCUCACGCUAACCUGAUUGGACCGUCUCACGCUAACCUGAUUGGACCGUCUCACGCUAACCUGAUUGGAUCGUCUCACUCGAACCUGAUUGGACCGUCUCACUCUAACCUGAUUGGACCGUCUCACUCUAACCUGAUUGGACCGUCUCACUCUAACCUGAUUGGACCGUCUCACUCUAACAUGAUUGGACCGUCUCACUCUAACAUGAUUGGACCGUCUCACUCUAACAUGAUUGGACCGUCUCACUCUAACAUGAUAGGACCGUCACACUCUAACCUGAUUGAACCGUCUCACUCUAACCUGAUUGAACCGUCACACUCUAACCUGAUUGGACCGUCACACUCUAACCUGAUUGGACCGUCUCACGCUAACCUGAUUGGACCGUCUCACGCUAACCUGAUUGGACCGUCUCACUCUAACCUGAUUGGACCGUCACACUCUAACCUGAUUGGACCGUCACACUCUAACCUGAUUGGACCGUCACACUCUAACCUGAUUGGACCGUCUCACGCUAACCUGAUUGGACCGUCUCACGCUAACCUGAUUGGACCGUCACACUCUAACCUGAUUGGACCGUCACACUCUAACCUGAUUGGACCGUCACACUCUAACCUGAUUGGACCGUCACACUCUAACCUGAUUGGACCGUCACACUCUAACCUGAUUGGACCGUCACACUCUAACCUGAUUGGACCGUCACACUCUUACCUGAUUGGACCGGCUCACUCUAACCUGAUUGGACCGUCUCACUCUUACCUGAUUGGACCGUCACACUCUAACCUGAUUGGACCGUCUCACUCUAACCUGAUUGGACCGUCUCACUCUAACCUGAUUGGACCGUCACACUCUAACCUGAUUGGACCGUCUCACUCUAACCUGAUUGGACCGUCUCACUAA
rnacentral:lncRNA from 1 species